rnacentral:rRNA from 1 species
UACGGAGGGGGCUAGCGUUGUUCGGAAUUACUGGGCGUAAAGCGCGCGUAGGCGGCUUUGCAAGUCAGAGGUGAAAGCCUGGAGCUCAACUCCAGAACUGCCUUUGAAACUGCAUCGCUAGAAUCGUGGAGAGGUGAGUGGAAUUCCGAGUGUAGAGGUGAAAUUCGUAGAUAUUCGGGAGAACACCAGUGGCGAAGGCGACUCACUGGACACGUAUUGACGCUGAGGUGCGUAAGCGUGGGGAGCAAACAGG